rnacentral:rRNA from 1 species
CAGCAGCCGCGGUAAUACGGAGGGGGCUAGCGUUAAUCGGAAUUACUGGGCGUAAAGCGUGCGCAGGCGGUUUGUUAAGACAGAUGUGAAAUCCCCGGGCUCAACCUGGGAACUGCAUUUGUGACUGGCAAGCUAGAGUAUGGCAGAGGGGGGUGGAAUUCCGCGUGUAGCAGUGAAAUGCGUAGAUAUGCGGAGGAACACCGAUGGCGAAGGCAGCCCCCUGGGCCAAUACUGACGCUCAUGCACGAAAGCGUGGGGAGCAAACAGGAUUAGAUACCCCGUAGUCCCUGUCUCUUAUACA